rnacentral:rRNA from 1 species
UGCCAGCCGCCGCGGUAAUACGGAGGGUGCAAGCGUUAUCCGGAUUUAUUGGGUUUAAAGGGUCCGUAGGCGGAACUUUAAGUCAGUGGUGAAAGCCUGCAGCUUAACUGCAGAACCGCCAUUGAUACUGAAAGGCUUGAGUUCUGUUAAGGUAGGCGGAAUUGAUGGUGUAGCGGUGAGAUGCAUAGAUAUCAUAAAGAACACCUAUUGCGAAGGCAGCUUGCUGGACUUGAAUUGACGCUGAGGUACGAAAGCGUGGGGAGCGAACAGGAUUAGAAA